UGCCCCUCCACGACUUGGUUUGGUUUCUGCCUCUGCAAUCCGCAUUCGGUUACUGGCGGAUUUGCUCGCUGCCUGGCGCCGUACCAAUCCAAUCCUUGGGUGCACCGGUGGUUCGGUUGGAUUUCUGUAUGAGCGCGCGAGAUCGGCGGCCUGCCGAGGUGCGGGCGCGGUUUAUUUUCCCCGUAAUUCUCGGGUGUCUGCUGGCCCCCAGUGCUUCAUUGGGUGGACUCGAGCCUCGCGUUAGGACAGUCAGCUGGGUUUGUGUGAUUUGGCGGGCAAUGCGGAAGCAAGUCAACCCGCCCGGGGCCCUGUUUUUGAGAAUGUAAAGCGCGGGUAGUGGCUGAUCAAAAUCUCUCGGGUUUCGGGCAAAUUACUGUUGAUGUCAUGGGUUGCUGAUCAUUAGCCUAAGGAAACGAUCAUCGGCCUAAGGAGUAGAACACUAAUACUACGAUUGCUACAUUGUUUUCCCCCAACUUCUUUCUGGAAAUGGCUUCUGCCAUAUUGGUUUCGUGCAUGGGUUGUCCAGGAAUGCAGGAACCUCACACUGUUCUAUUGGUGUUCUGCUGGAACAAAUCAUCGGUCCGUCCAGUGACAUUAUUGGCUUUUUCCAGGAUCUUCACAUCCACUAGGUGGUGGCUUGCCUGAACUGUCCAGAUCCAGGACAUUCUGUUCCGAUUUUAAGGGCAGAUGUGCUACAGUAAUUCACAUUAUGACAGCAUCAGCCUCUCUUUAUAGAUUUCUCAUUCUCUUUUGUCCUGUUGUACUCUUUGUAUUCUGAUCGACCCUUGAUUGAAAGAGGAUUUGCUUAAACCAAAUUUGCUCAAGAGUCAAAUACUGUAUCAACGUAUCAAUGGUUGCUUAAAGUACAUAGAUCAUCUCUGGUGCCUGGUGGAUAUCAAUGGGCUGUUGUACGUUUGUCAAGUGCUAGAAGAGCAACUGUAUUUAUAGAGUUGAUUCACAAUGGCUUAUGAUGGUGAUGAAGAACAGAGCCAAGAUUAUCUAUUCAAAAUCGUUUUGCUCGGUGACUCCUCUGUUGGUAAAUCAAAUUUACUAGCAAGAUUUGCAAGGAAUGAGUUCUACCCAAACUCCAAGUCCACUAUAGGAGUGGAGUUCCAGACGCAAAAGUUGGUAAUUGAUGGAAAGGAAAUUAAAGCUCAGAUAUGGGACACUGCUGGACAAGAGCGCUUCAGAGCAGUUACAUCUGCUUACUACCGUGGCGCUGUUGGAGCACUCCUUGUUUAUGAUAUUAGCAGGCGCCAGACUUUUGAUAGCGUUGGUCGAUGGCUUAAUGAACUGCAUACUCAUUCCGAUAUGAAUGUCGUCACAAUUCUGGUGGGCAAUAAAACCGAUCUUAAGCAUGCUCGUGAGGUGAGCACUGCAGAAGGCCAAGCCCUGGCUGAGGCUCAGGGUCUCUUCUUCAUGGAAACCUCAGCCCUAGACUCGUCAAAUGUUGCAGCAGCUUUUCAAACUGUUGUUAAGGAGAUCUACAGCAUACUAAGCCGGAAGGUAUUUCAAUCUCAAGAGCAGAAGAGAAGCGAGCUGCAGUCACUAAGCAACGGGAAGGCUGUGGUGCUGCAGGGCGAGACCAAUGAAACAAGCAAUGGUGGGAGGUGGUGCUGUUCCUCAUAACCUGUCAGCCCGUGUCGAAUGCUUAGGAUUGGGAGACACAUCUGGGUAUGUAAGGUUGGGCUUGUGAAAAGUUGUUUUUCCAUGUUCUUGUUCUAAAGAUGAGGUGGCGAGGCUGUUUGUAUGAAAGUUGUAUUUUCCUUCGGAGGAAAUCAAUGUAUAGUUCGAUUGAUCCUUGGGGAGGUAUUGAUAUACAUGAUUGUGUAAAGAGAAAGUGCGACCAACUGACUGUUGUGUCAUUCUACAUUCUAGUCUUAGAAAGAAACCGUUAUUUCA